CACGUAGGGUGCGAGCGUUGUCCGGAAUUAUUGGGCGUAAAGAGCUCGUAGGCGGUGUGUCGCGUCGGCCGUGAAAACCUGUGGCUUAACCAUGGGCUUGCGGUCGAUACGGGCAUCACUGGAGUUCGGCAGGGGAGACUGGAAUUCCUGGUGUAGCGGUGAAAUGCGCAGAUAUCAGGAGGAACACCGGUGGCGAAGGCGGGUCCUCUGGGCCGAUACUGACGC
rnacentral:rRNA from 1 species